rnacentral:rRNA from 1 species
GGGUAUAGUUCUUCGGAAUUAGAGACCGGCGCACGGGUGCGUAACGCGUAUGCAAUCUACCUUUUACAGAGGGAUAGCCCAGAGAAAUUUGGAUUAAUACCUCAUAGUAUAGUACAAUCGCAUGAUUGAAUUAUUAAAGUCACAACGGUAAAAGAUGAGCAUGCGUCCCAUUAGCUAGUUGGUAAGGUAACGGCUUACCAAGGCGACGAUGGGUAGGGGUCCUGAGAGGGAGAUCCCCCACACUGGUACUGAGACACGGACCAGACUCCUACGGGAGGCAGCAGUGAGGAAUAUUGGUCAAUGGGCGCAAGCCUGAACCAGCCAUGCCGCGUGCAGGAUGACGGUCCUAUGGAUUGUAAACUGCUUUUGUACAGGAAGAAACACUCGGACGUGUCCGAGCUUGACGGUACUGUAAGAAUAAGGAUCGGCUAACUCCGUGCCAGCAGCCGCGGUAAUACGGAGGAUCCAAGCGUUAUCCGGAAUCAUUGGGUUUAAAGGGUCCGUAGGCGGUUUAGUAAGUCAGUGGUGAAAGCCCAUCGCUCAACGGUGGAACGGCCAUUGAUACUGCUAGACUUGAAUUAUUAGGAAGUAACUAGAAUAUGUAGUGU